UUCCGUGUUUUCAUCGGGGCAUCAGACAGUGACAAGCAAGAUCAAGACUUUUUAGCUAUAUUUUAUUUAUUUUUUUUACCUUCUUCACUCUUAAAUUUAAGUUCUACCUAUCACUACUAUUUUUAUGCAAUUUUUAUAAUCCAAUGCAGUAUGCCCGUGACUUUAACCGCUCCAGGCAAGAAAUUUCUAAUCACUUCCACUUUAUACCUUGGCAGUGACGUCCCCGCAGCUCACGGACUCCUCGCCCCCACUAAACAGUCGCGGGAGGUCUGGAGCUGCGCGGACGUGUUAGGCCUUGCGUGUGUUGAUACCCUUUUAUUAGUGAUAACAAACACCUUUUGGAACACUUCGGGCGUCCAGGAGAGCGUUUUCCGAGUCUCGUGACGGAAGCCGAGGGAAGAGUUGCCAAGGAGAGAGAGAGAGAACGAAAGAAGUAAAAUUUUAUUAUGAUCAGAAUUAUUUCAAGAUCGCGUGAUAUCAAUGAAGGUAAGGUGAACUAAAAUGAAUUGUGCUGAACGAUAAGAAAAAAAAAAGUAAAUUAAAGUGUAAAAUGUUAUUAUGAUAAAAAUAUAUAUAUAAAAAAAAUAUCUUGGUUUUUAACGCGUCUUUUCUGAAUCACUACCCAGUUUCUUGUUCUACAGCAGCCACCAAACAUUGUGCUGGCCAGAAAUUGCAGAAUCUAUACAUUUUUUAAUCCCGUUCUUUCUUGUAGAUGCUUAUAGAGACCCCGUGCAUUGGUUUAGUGCUGUGAACUGCUUCUUAUCGCGGUGAAUCUCUCAACAUCGUGUAUGAAAAGAGAAAAAAUGAGAUUGAAGUAAAUUAUAAAAUGCGAAUAAGAGUAAAAAUAUGUUAUGAAAGAAAUUUAUCACCUUGUAGAAAUAAAAUGUUAGUAAUUUGUAGCGUAAUAAUGAUAAGAAAAAUGAAGAGACACAGACACACUAGAAGAGCUAAUAGUCGUGUUAUUUGAGGUGAUUAUAUAUAGAAGUUGAAAUUUAGUGUUGAAAAAGGAACAAGAAGCAGAAAAAGAAAAGAAUUGAAAGCAAACGCGAUGUAGUCUUGUUUUUUUUUUUAAAUGUGGCAAUGCAAGUGAACGAAAGAACAGCAAUGAACGAGAACUAAACUGAACGAGAACACAAAUGAACGAGAACACGAAUGAACGAGAACAACAUCGAACAAAAACACGAAUGAACGAGAACAAAACUGAACGAAAACACAAAAGAACGAGAACAGGAAUGAUCAUUGAACGGGCACAUGAAUGAAGGAGAACGAAAUUGAACGAGAACAAAACUGAACGAGAACAAGAUUGAACGAGCACAUGAAUGAACGAGAGCAGGAUUGAACGAGAACAAGACUGAACGAUAACACAAUAGAAGGUGGCGAUAAGAGGAGCUGGCUGUGAUAGUGAAGCAAUUAAGAAUAUCAGAGACUCAAAUACAAAAAGAAAGAAAAGAAAAAAGAGAAAAAAAUAUAUAAAACAAAGAAAAUAUUCACGCCAUUACAAACACAGGGACUGAACUAAAAGAAAAGAUAAAAAAAAAAGAGGAAAACACACAGAUACACCAUAGAGAAAUAUAUUACGGAACGGAAAAUACAAUAAUAAAACUAGAUAAUACAGAAGGUCAAUUUAUAUACGAGAAAAAAAUGAAUAAAAAUUAGAAGGUAUAAAUUAGCUAGAGACAAACAUGAUAAGGAUAAGAUAUGAUAAAUGAACCACUUAAAAUAUUGUUGUAGAUCUUGACUUGAGAAAGAGAGAGAGAGAAAAAAAAAGCAAGUGAUAAUCUAUGAAAAAAAAAAACACGAAAAAUACUAACUAAUGAGACAAAAGAAAUAAUAAUAAUAAUAAUAAUAAUAAUAAUAAUAAUAAUAAUAAUAAUAAUAAUAAUAAUAAUAAUAAACAGCAAAGUAACCACGGCUAUCUUUUAAGAGACUAGUCCAUUAUCGAUCAAGUUAUGGACGAAAUAGAUGAAAAGGAAAACUUGUAAAUAAUCAACAGACAAACACAAGAAACAUAAGAUAUAAUAAUGAAAAACCUUGGAAUAUUAGAUACCAACAUGAAAAAAAAAAAUAAAUAAAUAAAUAAAUAAAUAAACAAAAUAAAUGCGUAUAACUAAACACCAGAUUAUGAUAACAGAAAACGGAAGACACAGACAAUUAAACCACUUAGGAAAAUAAAAUAGAAACGAAAGGAUGUCAAAGAGAAAAAAGGUAUAAAUAAGCUAAAGAUUAAUACAAUAGAAAAUGGGUAGAUAAUAAUAAUAAUAAUAAUAGUAAGAAGAAGAA